AUUGAACGCUGGCGGCAUGCCUAACACAUGCAAGUCGAACGAUGGCUUCGGCCAUAGUGGCGCACGGGUGAGUAACACGUGGGAACCUGCCUUUCGGUUCGGAAUAACGUCUGGAAACGGACGCUAACACCGGAUACGCCCUGAUGGGGGAAAGUUUACGCCGAGAGAGGGGCCCGCGCCGGAUUAGGUAGUUGGUGGGGUAAUGGCCUACCAAGCCGACGAUCCGUAGCUGGUCUGAGAGGAUGAUCAGCCACACUGGGACUGAGACACGGCCCAGACUCCUACGGGAGGCAGCAGUGGGGAAUAUUGGACAAUGGGCGCAAGCCUGAUCCAGCAACGCCGCGUGAGUGAUGAAGGCCUUAGGGUUGUAAAGCUCUUUCGCACGCGACGAUGAUGACGGUAGCGUGAGAAGAAGCCCCGGCUAACUUCGUGCCAGCCGCCGCAGUAAAAC
rnacentral:rRNA from 1 species